rnacentral:rRNA from 1 species
UACGGGGCAAGCGUUGUUCGGAAUUACUGGGCGUAAAGGGCUUGUAGGCGGCCAACUAAGUCCGACGUGAAAUCCCCAGGCUUAACCGGGGAACUGCGUCUGAUACUGGAUGGCUUGAGUUUGGGAGAGGGACGCGGAAUUCCAGGUGUAGCGGUGAAAUGCGUAGAUAUCUGGAGGAACACCGGUGGCGAAGGCGGCGUCCUGGACCAACACUGACACUGAUGAGCGAAAGCCAGGGGAGCAAACGGG